CUGGGUGGGUGCGCUCGGAGCUUCCUCCCCUUCCCGGCAUUCCACUGCAGCAGCCAAGAUUGGAAAUGCUGAACACUUCACAUUUUCUUGCACGUUGUAAUAGAUAUUGCCUCCAUCAGGAGAAACAAACUGUUUUAGCAUGAAGGGAACCCAUUCCAGGAGAAAAUACUGAGAAUUUUAAAUGGAUAUCUAAUUUAUGAGGGCUUUUUAAUUUUUCAGCCUACCCUUGCAAACUUUAAAUUGCAUUCCCAGCUAUGACAUCUGGUUUCUCAUCAGUGCGUGUGCCAUCAUUUUGCAAAAGUUGGUACCAUCUAACAUGAUGAAUCAUCAUAGUUAUUGAUCUUUGGAAGAUGGACAGCUCUGCAAUAUCUGCUUGGAAUACUUUUUUUAGUGGGGAAAAGCAUAUAGGAGAUAACUUUAAUAGUGCACAGCAAAAAUCUCUAUGGAGGCAAACUGCUUUAGUCUGUGAAACCAUGGGAUGGUAUAACAACGAUUUGUCUUAACAAAAUUCUGACUGUUUUGCUGCCUCAGUUUACUUCUUGUUGUAUGACCUAAAGCUGAUCUUACACCUUCAUGGACGGUGAGGAUUCAUAAUGCUGCCUUGUUGGGCCAUAUUCUGUAAUAGCCAUUCUCUAGAGUUUAGCACUUGCAGCGUUUUCAAUUUGCAGUGCAAACAUUUUGUGAUUCAGGAGGCUGAUCCAGCUGGUUGUGAUGUAAGCAGAACAUAAGACUUUAUAUAUAAAUUUUUUGUGCGUAUCAUCUAUGUAGAGCUUUGUGAAUUACACUAUUUAUCCUAAACUCUAAAGCUAUAUGACUACAUACAGUACUACUGGUGAGAAUGGGUUGAAAGUAUACCCAAGAUCUGCAAUAAAUGUCUUUUUUGACUUGC